GUGUCAGCAGCCGCGGUAAUACGGAGGGUGCAAGCGUUAUCCGGAUUUACUGGGUUUAAAGGGUGCGUAGGCGGACUAUUAAGUCAGGGGUGAAAUCCCGGGGCUCAACCUCGGAACUGCCUUUGAAACUACUAGUCUUGAAUUAUGUUGAGGUUGGCGGAAUACAACAUGUAGCGGUGAAAUGCAUAGAUAUGUUGUGGAACACCGAUUGCGAAGGCAGCUGACUGAGCAUAUAUUGACGCUGAUGCACGAAAGCGUGGGGAUCAAACAGGAUUAGAUACCCUGGUAGUCCACGCCGUAAACUAUGAUUACUCGAUGUAUGCGAUAUAUUGUAUGCAUCCAAGCGAAAGCGUUAAGUAAUCCACCUGGGAAGUACGUUCGCAAGAAUGAA
rnacentral:rRNA from 1 species